rnacentral:rRNA from 1 species
CCUACGGGUGGCAGCAGUGAGGAAUUUUGGUCAAUGGACGAGAGUCUGAACCAGCAAAGUAGCGUGAAGGAUGACUGCCCUAUGGUUUGUAAACUUCGUUUAUAUGGGAAUAAAAUGAUCCUCGUGAGGGAUUUUGUAUGUACCAUAUGAAUAAGGAUAGGCUAACUCCGUGCCAGCAGCCGCGGUAAUACGGAGGAUCCGAGCGUUAUCCGGAUUUAUUGGGUUUAAAGGGAGCGUAGGUGGAUUGUUAAGUCAGUUGUGAAAGUUUGCGGCUCAACCGUAAAAUUGCAGUUGAAACUGGCAGUCUUGAGUACAGUAGAGGUGAGCGGAAUUCGUUGUGUAGCGGUGAAAUGCUUAGAUAUCACGAAGAACUCCAAUUGCGAAGGCAGCUCACUGGACUGCAACUGACACUGAGGCUCGAAAGUGUGGGUAUCAAACAGGAUUAGAUACCCUUGUAGUC